rnacentral:lncRNA from 1 species
CAAAACAAGAUAUAAUUCGGGGGGAAAAAAAAAAUCAUAUCAUAAAAUCAAAGUCUCUCACACUCUUAAGUUCUAAUACAGAGAUGGCGCAAGUUAGUAUUUGCAGAGCUGUGGCUUUGAUUCUCUUCAUUGCAGCGCUUCUCUCAAUGACAGCUGUCGUCAGUGCACAGGAUGUCGACCUGGCGCCGUUGCCGAGCAUGGACGCCGGAGCUGCGUUCCCGGUGACUGUUUCAGGUGGUUUUGUUUGCUCCUCACUCUUCUUCUCAGUCAUUACUCUACUAUUGCAGUAACAGGUUCUUGAGAGACUCAGAUUUUUAUUUUAUUUAAUUUUUAUUUUUAUUUUUAUUAUUAGGAUAUUUAUUACUUUUGAAAUUUUUGGCUAUUUUUUUAAUUGCUAUUUGGUGGGAGUGAGAAUAUUAGUUUUAAUAAUUCGAUUAUUUUUCCUCUAAUCUUUGGUUAGGAUUGUAUUUUCUUUUUAUUUUUUUACGGUCUUGAUAUUAUAUUAUAUUUUAAUUAUAAAAAUUGGAAUUAUUAUUUAUCAUUUUGCAUCUCUCUUUAAGUAUAUUUAUCAUUUGGCUAUUAUAAGUAUUGUUGAUUUUAAGUAUAUUUAGUACAAAAUCUAGCUGAAGGAAAUUGACUUUUAAAUAAGAAAAAAAAAUCUAUUUGGGUGGUUAAAAUCUAAUAAAGUUAAUUGAAAAUCUAUUGCAAAAUAAUAAUUCAAAAUCCGUGUCAUUAUUUUAAGCAAAAAAAUUUCUCAAGAAAAAUUGAACUGGGGAUAGUUUUAUGUAGUUUCGUACUUUCAAUUUCAAACGGGCCGGUUUAAUAAUUAGACAUUUUACUUAAAAUCAUCAUACUUAUCUCGAAAUUCAUUUUUUUUCCUCGCAUACUUUAUAUUAUUAAUCAACAUAUAUAAAAAUUUUAAUAGAAACACGAUGCUUUUCCAAAAUCCUAAUGGCAUACGAAGUCUUCAUCUCGAUUUGAAAUUCAACCAUAUCUGUUUUUCUUUUUCUUUUUUUCAGGUUUCAUUUACCAUUAUUAUCCAUUCGCAACUUGCAUCUGUUGUGGUUAACUGAUGAAGAAGAUACUCAAAAAUACAAACAAGAAAUUAAAAACAAAGGCAACAAGCAAGAGACAUGCAAAUUUAGAGUGCCCUCUCUGUGUGGGGCUAAUGGUCAAUUUUGGAAUUAUCGUUCGAAUAGUCAAAAUUGAUUGUUUGAAAUUAAUUACAAACGUGUGUACCUUGCUGAUCGGUAAACAAAUUAUAUAGCCCGGAAAGAUCUUGACUCCAAAAGAAAUCUACUUCAAUCUUUGGAAAAUUUUGAUACAAGUUCUAAAUUUUCCACAAGAUAUCCCAAAAUGUAAUUUUCAAACAAUUGUUGUUGGUGUUGUCGAGCUCGUUUUAGACGUUUAGGAAUUGUUAGAACGUGUGUAAGGACAAUGACUUCUUGAGUCAUGAAUAAAAGACCAUUUAUGGAUUAAUAAAAGUCUGUAUGGGGCUCCAAAACCAAUUUUUACUGAUUAUUUUUAUUGCCACAAUGACACAAAUUACCAAUUUAUAGAGUAGAAAAUAACUUGUCAUGAAUAGAAGACCAUUUAUUUAUACAUGGAAUUAUGGAUUAAUAAAAGUCUUUGCUCCUCCAAAAUUAAUUUUUAUUGAUUAUUUUAUUAUUUGAUUAUAUAUGUUGGACCAAAAAUAAAAUAAGCCUAAUGUGAAGGCAGCUCAUUAUUCAAGUAGCUCAAUAAAGCCACGUCAGCAGCAGAUUGAAAGUGAAGAAUGACAGCUCAGCAUGAUUGAUUAAUAGUCAAUAAUCCAGCUCAUGUAAACUGUGAUGUAACGAAUUGUAGUUGGUUUUGGUUGUUAAGAAAGUUAGUUAGUCACGAGUUAUUCUCACGUGUAAGUGAUUGUAUAUAAGCUUGUGAUUGACUUAUGAAUUAAUAAGAAUUGAAUCUUUUGGAAA